rnacentral:rRNA from 1 species
CGAGGGAUUUUCGGCAAUGGGCGCAAGCCUGACCGAGCAACGCCGCGUGCGGGAUGACGCCCUUCGGGGUGUAAACCGCUUUUCCCGGGGACGAGAAUGACGGUACCCGGGGAAUAAGCCUCGGCUAACUACGUGCCAGCAGCCGCGGUAAGACGUAGGAGGCGAGCGUUGUCCGGAUUUACUGGGCGUAAAGCGCGCGCAGGCGGUCACGCAGGUCAUCUGUGAAAGCACCCGGCUCAACCGGGUUGUUGCGGGUGAAACCGCGUGACUUGAGGUCGGGAGGGGUCGGUGGAAUUCCCGGUGUAGUGGUGAAAUGCGUAGAUAUCGGGAGGAACACCCGUAGCGAAGGCGGCCGACUGGACCGAUCCUGACGCUGAGGCGCGAAGGCCAGGGGAGCGAACGGGAUUAGAUACCCCCGUAGUCC